CCUGCCGUUGCCGGCGACCGGCGCACGGGUGAGUAACACGUACGCAACCUGCCCGUGGCAGGGGGAUAAGCGGGGGAAACCCCGUCUAAUACCGCGUAACGCGGCCUAGGGACAUCCCAAGGCCGCCAAAGGGAGCAAUCCCGGCCACGGAUGGGCAUGCGGCGCAUUAGCUAGUCGGCGGGGUAACGGCCCACCGAGGCGACGAUGCGUAGGGGUUCUGAGAGGAAGGCCCCCCACACUGGUACUGAGACACGGACCAGACUCCUACGGAAGGCAGCAG
rnacentral:rRNA from 1 species